rnacentral:rRNA from 1 species
CCUACGGGAGGCAGCAGUGGGGAAUAUUGGGCAAUGGGCGCAAGCCUGACCCAGCAACGCCGCGUGAAGGAAGAAGGCUUUCGGGUUGUAAACUUCUUUUCUCAGGGACGAAGAAAGUGACGGUACCUCUUGCAUAAGCCACGGCUAACUACGUGCCAGCAGCCGCGGUAAUACGUAGGAGGCAAGCGUUGUCCGGAUUUACUGGGUGGAAAGGGCGUGCAGCCGGGAAGACAAGUCAGAUGUGAAAUCCCGCGGCUCAACCGCGGAACUGCAUUUGAAACUGUUUUUCUUGAGUACCGGAGAGGUCAUCGGAAUUCCUUGUGUAGCGGUGAAAUGCGUAGAUAUAAGGAAGAACACCAGUGGCGAAGGCGGAUGACUGGACGGCAACUGACGGUGAGGCGCGAAAGCGUGGGGAGCAAACAGGAUUAGAUACCCGAGUAGUC